GUCCCCGUAGCUUAAUGGAUAGAGUACUGGCCUCCGAAGCCGGUGAUGCGAGUUCGACUCUCGCCGGGGACA
rnacentral:tRNA from 1 species